rnacentral:misc_RNA from 1 species
GAUGAAGAACGCAGCAAAAUGCGAUAAGUAAUGUGAAUUGCAGAAUUCAGUGAAUCAUCGAAUCUUUGAACGCACAUUGCGCCCGCCAGUAUUCUGGCGGGCAUGCCUGUUCGAGCGUCAUUUCAACCCUCAAGCACAGCUUGGUGUUGGGACUCGCGUUAAUUCGCGUUCCCCAAAUUGAUUGGCGGUCACGUCGAGCUUCCAUAGCGUAGUAGUAAAACCCUCGUUACUGGUAAUCGUCGCGGCCACGCCGUUAAACCCCAACUUCUGAAUGUUGACCUCGGAUCAGGUAGGAAUACCCGCUGAACUUAAGCAUAUCAAUAGCGAGGA